rnacentral:rRNA from 1 species
UGCCAGCCGCCGCGGUAAUACGGGGGGGGCAAGCGUUGUUCGGGAUUACUGGGCGUAAAGGGCGCGUAGGCGGACGGGACAGUCUUUCGUGAAAUCCCACGGCUCAACCGUGGAAUUGCGGGAGAUACUACUCGUCUUGAGUUCGGGAGAGGAGUGUGGAAUUCCCAGUGUAGCGGUGAAAUGCGUAGAUAUUGGGAGGAACACCGGUGGCGAAGGCGGCACUCUGGACCGAUACUGACGCUGAGGCGCGAAGGCGUGGGUAGCGAACGGGAUUAGAUA